rnacentral:rRNA from 1 species
AUGAUCCAUCCAAAGAAGCUUGCUCAGCUGGCCAAGAAGUGCCAGCGGAUGUUGGCGGCCAGAACCAGUGCCCGCCGUCGGCAUGCCUCAGACACAGCCGCUGACGAGUGCUGCAGCACAGUAUCAUCUGUGGUUGCUGAUGAGGGCCAUUGUGUGGUGUACACUGCCGACGGAACCCGGUUCGAGGUCCCUCUGGCGUACCUCAGGACGACGGUCUUCUCUGAGCUCCUGAGGAUGUCCGAGGAGGAGUUUGGCUUCGCGAAUGGCAGUGACGGAGGCAGGAUCAUGCUGCCCUGCGAUGCCGCUGUGAUGGAGUAUGUCUUGUGCCUGGUCAGGAGAGAGGCCUCUGAGGAGGUGGAGAAGGCUUUCUUGGGCUCUAUUGCUGGGCACUGCCACAGCUACAAUGCUAGCUGCAUGGCUCCAUCAAUGGGAAUCAGCCAUCAAUUUGCCCUUUGUACUUAG